CAAGACUCCCUAGUCUGAGGUUGUCCUUCAAAAUAGAAGGGGAUUAGACUUAGUCUUCUUACAACAAAGGGUGGGGGUGGAGGGGUUAUGUGCUGCCUUAAGCGUAGGAUGUUGCUUUUUUGCUGGAAUGUAAAUGAGAGCGAGAAAAGCAACAAAGUUGGUUACAAUCCUGGUUUAAUCAUUCCCCCUGGCUCACUCUGAGAGCAACCUGGACCCAUGAUUGGGUCCUGCAUAGGAUCCUCUGAAAAAGGGGGGAAUGUGGGGCCCAGGAAAUUUAACAAAAAUCCCCUACCCCUGGACAAGCAGAGACCAUGCCCAGGGCAUACCCUAAUCGGAAAUCCGCUCAGUGAUAGGCCAGUUCAAAUGGAUACUUUAGGGUAAAAUGUAAUUCAAUCGGCCACCUGCUUGUGGACCCACAUGACUGUGCAACUUUCUGCGUAUCCCAUUGGCCACUGGUCCCCAUAAAGCUGCUAUGCCUUUUGGUCUCAGGGUCCAAGUCCCUGCUCCACUGUGUCAGGUAUACUUGGACCCAAGCUCGAGCUUGUAAAUAAACCCUCGUGUGUUUGCUUUGGUGUCGGCUCCUCGGAUUCGCAAUCUUGGGCACGACAAGGGAAUCUGCAUUGCUCACAACAGGUUGCUGCACGCUGAGGUGCUUGCCCUCAAGUAUACCAGCCGCACCUUUCAAGUCCUCCCAGAAUGAGCUGACCUGCUGAACAUGUGAAAGAGAUGGAUGGACAGUUCCACAGGCGAUUAAAGCAAAUUCAUCACAGAAUGCAGGUGGCUUGCUUUUCGAGUGACGUAAGAAAGUGCAUGGAAAGCCCAGGACCUGCAAAGUUGUCAACUCUAUUUUGGACACUAUCUCUGCUCCUUCCAUCUGAUCCUGGACAUUUACUCACAGGGUGCCAAUAAGUCUCCAGGUGCUCCUCAACUAUGCUUUCCAUUCUGACCCUUCCCAGAUGGAUGUCGGUCAGGACCUCUGGGUGGGAGCAUCUCCUCGAGUAUUUACACAGCGCGAGUGAAACUCCACCAUCUCUGGGACUGCGUCAGGCUCCUCCUCACUCCUGCAUUUCACCUGCAGGCCUUCCCGUCCUCACAGCCGCGCUCAAGCAGGAGCCCCGCUGUGGGAAGGCUGGGCUGCUCCCCCCGAGACUCCGAGGAGCUCUUCCCCAGCCGUGGGGAUGUCGGCGGCUGGAGGCUUAGCUCAGUCUCUCUUUGAGAGUUGCGCUUGCGGAGGAAAGACAUUUGGGUCAAUAUCAUGAUCUUUUCCUGGUGACAGCCUGUAUCCAGUGACAGGUCAAUGUUAGAGUGGAGAGCUCUAGAGCCUCCUUGAUGUAAAUUGAUCCAACUCGGAAGGGCCAUCUCAGCCCCCACGACACCAGCAGCAUGGAAGUAGGCUCCUUUCUCAGAAAAGUUUUCUACCUUUCCACUUACAAGGAGGUUGCACAUUUCUCUUUGGAAAGCAAAUCCUAGGAAAGUACAUUUUCUCUUAGAAGUUUCAGAGGGAGCCUCUCAACAUCUAACAGAUUCCUUGAAUCAAUCACUGUGGCUAGGAAAUGAUGCUCUUAUUGGACAGUUGGAGUCACAUGAUCAACCCCGAAGCCAGGAGAACUGUACAUUGAAGCAGAUAGACUGAGGGUCGGGAAGGGGGUGGUUUCUUCAGAAAAUUGGGUUGGAAACCCAAUCAGUGAAUGGAUGUUGGGAAACACAAGCAAUAGAUUAUAGCUGUCAUUGCAUUUGACAGCCACUGCAACAGCUACCCACACUCUUCCUGUUUCAAAGUUUUACUUCUGUACUUUUCAUCCAUCCUUCAGAGCUCUGAAACACAGACACAGUCAUGUCUCUGUUUAACAGUAUUCAUGAGGGAAAACAGAUAAGGCUAGCUUUCAAGGUCACAUUCUUCCCAUGUGCCCUACAUGUGCCCUUCCUAAACUUCUGAGAGCUUAAGAAUCACCUGCAGAGGGGAGGCCUGGGGGGCUUAGUAGGUUAAGAGUCUGCCUUUGGAUUAGGUCAUGAUCCUACUAUCCUGGGAUCAACCCUCGCAUGGGGCUCCCUGCUCCACAAAUAAAUAAAAUCUUUAAAAAAAAAAAAGUAGAAGAAGAAGAAUCACCUGAGCACCUGGCUGGCUCAGAUGGAAGAGUGUGACUACUGAUCUCUAGGUCCUGAGUUCAAGCCCCACGUUGGUUUAGAGAUUACUUAAAUAAAUAAAAUUGAAAAAGAAAAAACAGAAAAAAGAAAAAGAAUCACCUAGAGAACUUAUUAAAACAGAUUCCCGGGCCUCAAACCCAGAGAUUAUGAUUUAGUGAAGUUGCACACAGGGGAACCUGUGGUUUCACAUUUCUAGCAAUUUCCCAGGUUAUGUUGAAGCUACUAUAGUCCUAGGACCGAACUCUGAGAAGCAUAGCUCAUGGGUGGCAUCUGCUCCAACAAAAGGGACCUCUCAUUUUCCAGACACAUUCUCAGUUUCUUAUCUUCUGGGACUUAGCCAGCCUCUUUCAUUUAUUGAUAAUGUCCUACUCACAGUCUCUACCUAUCCUUCAAGGCCAAAUUCAAGUGGCAGCUCCUUCAUGACAUCUUUCCUAAUUUAUUCAUCCCUUUGAAUCUCAUUUUUCUUGAUUUAUUCCUUUUUAAAAAAUUAUGCAUCGUAUUCUAGUUGUAUAUCUAUCUUCAUUUAUCUCUUUUUAAAAUAUUUUUAAAAAUUGCCUUUUUUUUUGGUUUGUUUUUGAAGUUCAUUUACUUAAGCAAUCUCUACACCCAGUGUGGGGCUCAAACUCAUGACCCUGAGA